UACGUAGGGGGCUAGCGUUGUCCGGAAUCAUUGGGCGUAAAGCGCGUGUAGGCGGUCCGGUAAGUCCGCUGUGAAAGUCGGGGGCUCAACCCUCGGAUGCCGGUGGAUACUGUCGGGCUUGAGUACGGAAGAGGCGAGUGGAAUUCCUGGUGUAGCGGUGAAAUGCGCAGAUAUCAGGAAGAACACCCGUGGCUAAGGCGGCUCUCUAGUACGGUACUGACGCUGAGGAGCGAAAGCGUGGGGAGCAAACAGG
rnacentral:rRNA from 1 species